GAGACUCUGAUGGCCGAUAUAUCGCG
rnacentral:piRNA from 1 species